UGGGGAUGUGGCUCAAGCAAUAGCGUGCUCGCCUGGCAUGCGUGCGGCCCGGGUUUGAUCCUCAGCACCACAUACAAACAAAGAUGUUGUGUCCCCCGAGAACUUGAAAAUGAAUAUCAAAGAAUUCUCAUUCUCUCUCUCUCUUAAAAAAAAGAAUACAUACAUACAGAACUAAAAUGGGAUGAUAACACAAAAAAUCUGAUUUAAAAAUGGCAAAGGACUUAAAUCUCCAAAGAAGAUAUAAAGAUGGCUAGUGAGCACAAGAAUGAAAAUUAUAAUGAGAUACAGUAGGAUGUCUCUCUCUUUCUCUCUCUCUCUCUCUCUCUCUCUCUCUCUCUCUCCCUCUCUCUCUCUCUCUCACACACACACACACACACACACACGCAAGGAUGCAGAUAAAUUCCAAUUCUUAUGCACUGCUGAUGGAACUAUAAAGAAGUACAGUUAUAGAAAACAGUUUUAAUCCAUUGUAUUUCCUAUUACAAUAUAUCAAAAUAAUUGAAAGUAUGGGCCUGAGGGUAUAUUUAUACACCCAGUGUUCAUUGCUGCACUAUUCAUAGUAGUCAAAAGUUGGAAAUAACUGGUAGGUUAAAGGACAAAAUAUAUUAUCUGUACAAUGGAAUAUUCAGCCAUUAAAAGGAAUUAAAUUUUGAUGAGUCUUUAAAAAAAUGUCAAAUGAAAUAAGCUAGUCACAAAAGGAGAAAUACCAUUCGAUUCCACUUAUGUGAGGUAUGUAGAAUAGUGAAAUUCAUAAAGACAAAGUAGAGCAGUGGUUACUGUCCAUCAAGGGAUUUGGGGGGGAGGAGUAAAAGGGGGAUUAUUUAAGGAGUACAAAGAUUGAAUAUGGGAUCAUAUAGAGAUUGAUAGUGGUGAUGGCUGUACAUAAUGUGAAUGUACUUCAUGUCCUUGAACUAUAUACUUCAAAGUAGUUAAAACAGUAAAUUUUAUAUUUUAUCAAAUUGCACCAGGGGCUGGGGUUGUGGCUCAGAGGUUGAGCGCUCACCUAGCAUGCGUAAGGCAAUGGGUUUGAUCCUCAGCAUCAAAUACAAAUAAAAUAAAGGUAUUGUGUCCAUCUACAACUAAAAAAUGAAUAUUAAAAAAAUAAAAUAAUAAAAAUACAUUAAAAACCACCAAAAAGAAAAAAAAAUAUGGGUUAGCUGUUAGAAAAAUAACUCCAGCUACAAGGAAAGAAAACAUAAAUGCAUAUUACUCAGUGAAAGAAGCCAGUUUGAAAGACCACAUACUGUAUGAUCUCCAGUGUAGGACAUUCUGGAGAAAGCAGACAUUAGCGGUUGCUAGAAGUUCAGUGGGAGAGAGGGAGGAGUGAACACAUGGAGCACAGGAGAUUGUUAGGGCAAGGAAAUUACUAUGUAUAGUAUAGGAUGCUGUGAUAGUGGAUAUAUGGCAUUAUACAUUCAUCAAAAUCUGUAAAACUACUACAAAAAUAGCAACUUUAAUGUAAACUAUGAACUUUAGUUGAUAAGACUGUAUCGAUGUUGGUGUAUUAAUUUAAACUAAUGUGCUGCCCUGGUGUAGGGUGUUUCCUAACAGGAACAGGAUGAGGGAGAGGAGCAUGGGGGGACUCUGUACUGUCGCUCAGCUUUCCCAUACAGGUGCUCCUUACCAUGGGGUUGCAUUCUCCCAACCUAUUGUAAGUCAAAUACCCAAAAGUCAAAAAUAUAUCUAAUACACGUAACCUACCAAACAUCACAGCUUAGCUAUAGUGCUGUGGGCCACCGGUUGUUCCCCUUCUGAUCAUGUGGCUGACAAGCAGGGCUUUGCUGCUACUGGUCAGCAUCAGAAGGGGAUGAGCACACGUGCUAUUUCAGGAAAGAUCAUAAUUCAAAGUGCAGUUUCUACUGAAUGUGUAUCACUUUCACACUACCAUAAAAUAGAAAAAUAAUGACUUGAACGAUUGUUAAGUCAAGUCAUAAGUUGGGGACUGUAAUCUAAAUUUUUUCUAAAAGUCUUAAAUUUAAAGAAUCACAUUUUUUUCUACUUUCUCAGUAUCUCAGACUCAUCUGUUAAAUAGUGAUUUAUGGUGAAUGGAUGAAUAAAUUAAACACUAGUGACAAAUUUAAUAUAUGGGGCCUACACUGGGCCAGACUGUGUAGAAGAGCCAGCGUGCAUACCAGUUUUGAAAAAGACGUGGCUUGGGAAUGGGAUUGUGCAUGGCCGGUGCUUGCUCCUCUGCCCCAAUUCUUUUGCCAACCCUAGACCUUUGGUGGUCAGAAAACCCACCCUCCAAUCUGCUGCAAGACUUUCUAUACUAACAGUCACUAUAGCUUUUUUUUUCUAUUAUGUUUCAAUGUAAUUUAAACAGGUGGAAAAAAAACGGAGCAUUUGACCUGUGUUGCCCCUAAAAAGAUGAAAAUUUGGCAUUCUGCAAAAUCAUGCACUAAAAACUACAGGCCUUUUGAGGAAAACAGGUUUGGGAUUUAGUAACCUGUGUAGUAAGAUUAACAAUCCUAAAUUUGCACUGGCAUAUGCUUUAAGAAUGAUUCCAUCUUUUUCAGCCUUAAACUUUCAAGUUUAUGUUUCUUUGAGAUAAAAAUCCUUGAACUAAAUCACUUUUAACAGAAACCAUUUUCAUCAAUAUUAAAAAUAUGACAUAGCGAUGUCUUUAUCAGUCAAUGCUUCUGUCUACUCACUAGGUAACAUGUCAUCUUGGAUGUUUCAUCUCUGUGUAGUUGUAGCUUCCUGGAUAGAGCAAAGAGUGAGGUGUGUUUUGAAACCCUAAACCAGUCAUUUUUUCAUCAUUUUUUUCUUGCUAUCUCCAUAUAUUCCUGAGGGUUUCUCUCUGGUUGUGAGGAAGUUUGCUUCCUUUGCCUUGCCACCUUAGCUUGCUGGGGAAUCAUGCUGGACCACUGUGACUUACAUACUACUAAUGCCACCACUGGCCUGUUGCAUACAAGCUGAUACACAUACAGAAGCACAUGCGCCUGUCAGCACAAUAGGCUGUUUCAUGGAGUGACAGUUACUGUCUCAUGUUUAAGGAAGAAGAGAUUACAUUUUUGCUUCAUUUUACCUUAUGGUGUUUCAUUUUCUGCUGUUGUAAAAUAAAAACAAAGAUAUAGUCCGCUUGAUGUUUCUUCAGUGGUCUCCAUGACCUUUGGAAAACAAUUAAGAUUGAGAUGUUUUCUCCAUCUCAGUUUUCCUUCGUAUAUAUACCUACCUGCUUUGGCCUCAUAGUCACAUGCUUAAACUCAUAGCUUCUGCUAGAGUGUAGGUGAACUAACCUAGAACACCCAAAUUCCCAGCAGCCUUCCCUGUAGUGUUUCUCAGAAAACAGUUUUGUCAGUAUCCGUAUUCUAGACUCACAAGUUUGGUACUCUGUUACCCAAAAUUCUAAAAAGCCUGGUGAUCUUUUGAAGAUAAUCAAUCUAGAAGGUUGGUUGAGGGGGAAAAAAGUGCUAUAGUGAGUAACUUGAGUCACUCUAACAACAAAGAAAGUAACAUAUGGCAAUAAAAUGGAAGAAAAUAUCAAAUACAAGGACCAAAAUAUCCCAUGGUUAACUGGGGCUAUGAUGUGCAGACAAAAGCUUUUCUAGCCAAGGAACCCUGAGGCUCCCGCCCAUACCGUGGAAGCCUAAGUCCAUGAGAAAAACAUGGGUCUGGUAGCCAGACUUCCCUGGGUUUAAACUCUUGUUCAUUUCCCUAAAAUGUCAUAUAUUUAUUAUUUAUUAUAUUUUUAUUAGCCAUUUGUGUAUUUUCUUUGAUAAAAUGUCUAAUAAAAUAUUUUGCCCAAA
rnacentral:lncRNA from 1 species